GAUGAACGCUGGCGGCGUGCUUAACACAUGCAAGUCGAACGAUGAAAGCGGGAGCUUGCUCCUGCUGGAUUAGUGGCGAACGGGUGAGUAACACGUGAGUAACCUGCCCUUGACUCUGGGAUAAGCGUUGGAAACGACGUCUAAUACCGGAUACGACCUUCGGAGGCAUCUCCUGGGGGUGGAAAGAAUUUCGGUCAAGGAUGGACUCGCGGCCUAUCAGCUAGUUGGUGAGGUAAUGGCUCACCAAGGCGACGACGGGUAGCCGGCCUGAGAGGGUGACCGGCCACACUGGGACUGAGACACGGCCCAGACUCCUACGGGAGGCAGCAGUGGGGAAUAUUGCACAAUGGGCGCAAGCCUGAUGCAGCAACGCCGCGUGAGGGACGACGGCCUCGGUU
rnacentral:rRNA from 1 species